UACAGAGGUCCCAAGCGUUGUUCGGAUUCAUUGGGCGUAAAGGGCGCGUAGGCGGACAGUUUAGUCAGAGGUGAAAGCCCAGGGCUCAACCUUGGAAUUGCCUUUGAUACUGGCUGUCUUGAGUUCGGGAGAGGUGAGUGGAAUGCCGAGUGUAGAGGUGAAAUUCGUAGAUAUUCGGCGGAACACCAGUGGCGAAGGCGACUCACUGGCCCGAUACUGACGCUGAGGCGCGAAAGCGUGGGGAGCAAACAGG
rnacentral:rRNA from 1 species